GUUUGUAGCUCAGUGGUAGAGUGCUUGCAUAGCAUGCCUGAGACCCUGGUUCAAUAUCCAGAACCACAAACA
rnacentral:tRNA from 1 species